CACGUAGGGCGCGAGCGUUGUCCGGAAUUAUUGGGCGUAAAGAGCUCGUAGGCGGCCUGUUGCGUCCGCUGUGAAAGCCCGGGGCUUAACCCCGGGUCGGCAGUGGAUACGGGCAGGCUAGAGGUAGGUAGGGGAGAAUGGAAUUCCCGGUGUAGCGGUGAAAUGCGCAGAUAUCGGGAGGAACACCGGUGGCGAAGGCGGUUCUCUGGGCCGAUACUGACGCUGAGGAGCGAAAGCGUGGGGAGCGAACAGG
rnacentral:rRNA from 1 species